rnacentral:rRNA from 1 species
AUUGAACGCUGGCGGCAUGCCUUACACAUGCAAGUCGAACGGCAGCACGGGUGCUUGCACCUGGUGGCGAGUGGCGAACGGGUGAGUAAUACAUCGGAACAUGUCCUGUAGUGGGGGAUAGCCCGGCGAAAGCCGGAUUAAUACCGCAUACGAUCUACGGAUGACAGCGGGGGACCUUCGGGCCUCGCGCUAUAGGGUUGGCCGAUGGCUGAUUAGCUAGUUGGUGGGGUAAAGGCCUACCAAGGCGACGAUCAGUAGCUGGUCUGAGAGGACGACCAGCCACACUGGGACUGAGACACGGCCCAGACUCCUACGGGAGGCAGCAGUGGGGAAUUUUGGACAAAGGGCGAAAGCCUGAUCCAGCAAUGCCGCGUGUGUGAAGAAGGCCUUCGGGUUGUAAAGCACUUUUGUCCGGAAAGAAAUCCUUGGCCCUAAUACGGUCGGGGGAUGACGGUACCGGAAGAAUAAGCACCGGCUAACUACGUG